UACAGAGGUCCCAAGCGUUGUUCGGAUUCACUGGGCGUAAAGGGUGCGUAGGCGGUCGGGUAAGUCUGGCGUGAAAUCUCCAAGCCUAACUUGGAAACUGCGUUGGAUACUAUCCGGCUCGAGGAAUGGAGGGGAGACUGGAAUACUUGGUGUAGCAGUGAAAUGCGUAGAUAUCAAGUGGAACACCAGUGGCGAAGGCGAGUCUCUGGACAUUUCCUGACGCUGAGGCGCGAAAGCCAGGGGGGCAAACGGG
rnacentral:rRNA from 1 species